CCUCCCUUAUUUUACUUAUCUCUCUCUUCAUACCUUCUUCUUCCUCCUCUCUUAUCGUUAUCUUCUUCUCCAUUGCUUCAUUGAUCCAUGACUUUCCUUUGUGGUUUCCAUCACCGUGCUGUCCAAUUAACCGUGAGCCAUGCCACUGGAGCCAGCGCCUUCACCGAAGGAGUGGCUCGUGUUACUAGAGAUCCGUUGUUACCGUGGAGAAGAUAUGUACGAGCUGGAGCUGUCGCAUCUUGACGCCACCGGCACGCAUCAACACCACCAAGCACCACGACCGGAGCCGUUUCAGUCUGACCAGCCGUGAUCCCAACCGUGAGUCACCGGAGAGAUCCGCCAUUACGAUUCCAAGCCGUGAAGGAAAGAAUUAAAGACCUUAUGGGUGAUUUGUUUGCCAAGUCAUUCUCUCUAAAGCCUAGACGUUUGACGAGGCAUAUCAGUUCCCGAGUAUUAUCCGAUGAAUCUCUAAUAUUGGCUAAGGUGAGCUUGCCGAGUAGUUGGAUAUCUGGACGGUUCGGUGUCUUUGGGAUAAUUGUAUUUAUUUCGGUUUUAAUUAAUAAUGUAUACAAAUUUU